AGUGAACGCUGGCGGUAGGCCUAACACAUGCAAGUCGAACGGCAGCACAGUAAGAGCUUGCUCUUACGGGUGGCGAGUGGCGGACGGGUGAGGAAUACAUCGGAAUCUACUUUUUCGUGGGGGAUAACGUAGGGAAACUUACGCUAAUACCGCAUACGACCUACGGGUGAAAGCAGGGGAUCUUCGGACCUUGCGCGAUUGAAUGAGCCGAUGUCGGAUUAGCUAGUUGGCGGGGUAAAGGCCCACCAGGGCGACGAUCCGUAGCUGGUCUGAGAGGAUGAUCAGCCACACUGGAACUGAGACACGGUCCAGACUCCUACGGGAGGCAGCAGUGGGGAAUAUUGGACAGUGGGCGCAAGCCUGAUCCAGCCAUACCGCGUGGGUGAAGAAGGCCUUCGGGUUGUAAAGCCCUUUUGUUGGGAAAGAAAAGCAGCAGGUUAAUACCCCGCUGUUCUGACGGUACCCAAAGAAUAAGCACCGGCUAUCUUCGU
rnacentral:rRNA from 1 species